rnacentral:rRNA from 1 species
GAGGGUUUGAUCCUGGCUCAGGAUGAACGCUGGCGGCGUGCCUAAUACAUGCAAGUCGAGCGAACGGACGAGAAGCUUGCUUCUCUGAUGUUAGCGGCGGACGGGUGAGUAACACGUGGAUAACCUACCUAUAAGACUGGGAUAACUUCGGGAAACCGGAGCUAAUACCGGAUAAUAUUUUGAACCGCAUGGUUCAAAAGUGAAAGACGGUCUUGCUGUCACUUAUAGAUGGAUCCGCGCUGCAUUAGCUAGUUGGUAAGGUAACGGCUUACCAAGGCAACGAUGCAUAGCCGACCUGAGAGGGUGAUCGGCCACACUGGAACUGAGACACGGUCCAGACUCCUACGGGAGGCAGCAGUAGGGAAUCUUCCGCAAUGGGCGAAAGCCUGACGGAGCAACGCCGCGUGAGUGAUGAAGGUCUUCGGAUCGUAAAACUCUGUUAUUAGGGAAGAACAUAUGUGUAAGUAACUGUGCACAUCUUGACGGUACCUAAUCAGAAAGCCACGGCUAACUACGUGCCAGCAGCCGCGGUAAUACGUAGGUGGCAAGCGUUAUCCGGAAUUAUUGGGCGUAAAGCGCGCGUAGGCGGUUUUUUAAGUCUGAUGUGAAAGCCCACGGCUCAACCGUGGAGGGUCAUUGGAAACUGGAAAACUUGAGUGCAGAAGAGGAAAGUGGAAUUCCAUGUGUAGCGGUGAAAUGCGCAGAGAUAUGGAGGAACACCAGUGGCGAAGGCGACUUUCUGGUCUGUAACUGACGCUGAUGUGCGAAAGCGUGGGGAUCAAACAGGAUUAGAUACCCCUG